GACGAACGCUGGCGGCGUGCUUAACACAUGCAAGUCGAACGGAAAGGCCCUGCUUGCAGGGUACUCGAGUGGCGAACGGGUGAGUAACACGUGGGUGAUCUGCCCUGCACUUCGGGAUAAGCCUGGGAAACUGGGUCUAAUACCGGAUAGGAGCCAUUUUUAGUGUGAUGGUUGGAAAGUUUUUUCGGUGUAGGAUGAGCUCGCGGCCUAUCAGCUUGUUGGUGGGGUAAUGGCCUACCAAGGCGGCGACGGGUAGCCGGCCUGAGAGGGUGGACGGCCACAUUGCGACUGAGAUAAGGCCCAGACUCCGAAGGGAGGCAGCAGUGGGGAAUAUUGCACAAUGGGCACAAGCCUGAUGGAGCGACGCCGCGGGGGGGAUGACGGCCUUCGGGUUGGAAACUCCUUUCGCUAGGGACGAAGCUUUUUGUGACGGUACCUAGAGAAGAAGCACCGGCUAACUACGUG
rnacentral:rRNA from 1 species